UACGUAGGUGGCAAGCGUUGUCCGGAAUUAUUGGGCGUAAAGCGCGCGCAGGCGGUCCUUUAAGUCUGAUGUGAAAGCCCACGGCUCAACCGUGGAGGGUCAUUGGAAACUGGGGGACUUGAGUGCAGGAGAGAAGAGUGGAAUUCCACGUGUAGCGGUGAAAUGCGUAGAUAUCUGCAGGAACACCCGUGGCGAAAGCGGCGCGCUGGACCACUACUGACGCUGAGGAACGAAAGCUAGGGGAGCAAACAG
rnacentral:rRNA from 1 species